UAAGGGCUCACCAAGGCGACGAUCCCUAGCUGGUCUGAGAGGAUGAUCAGCCACACUGGAACUGAGACACGGUCCAGACUCCUACGGGAGGCAGCAGUGGGGAAUAUUGCACAAUGGGCGCAAGCCUGAUGCAGCCAUGCCGCGUGUGUGAAGAAGGCCUUCGGGUUGUAAAGCACUUUCAGUCGUGAGGAAGGUNGUGUAGUUAAUAGCNGCAUUAUUUGACGUUAGCGACAGAAGAAGCACCGGCUAACUCCGUGCCAGCAGCCGCGGUAAUACGGAGGGUGCGAGCGUUAAUCGGAAUUACUGGGCGUAAAGCGCAUGCAGGUGGUUUGUUAAGUCAGAUGUGAAAGCCCGGGGCUCAACCUCGGAAUAGCAUUUGAAACUGGCAGACUAGAGUACUGUAGAGGGGGGUAGAAUUUCAGGUGU
rnacentral:rRNA from 1 species